rnacentral:lncRNA from 10 species
UCUUACACAUUGAGUGUGGUUUCUGCAGUGAUGGGGAAGUUCUGUCAACCCUGGCCUGCUUUGGGACACCAGUGGACCUCCCCAGAGCUGGUGGUGAAAAUUCCUGGAGAUAGAUCCUCCGAAUGAGGAACAAUGUAUUCUUCUUUUCUCCUAAUUCUCCUAAAAAAUCCACUUGGGAGAUACCUGCUGCAAAACUUAAAGGCAACCAUAUUCUGUACUUAGAUGAAGUGUUUGUCAAGCUCCCUGGAAAAGAGAAUCAAAGGACCCUGACUUGUUUACUCUGCCUUCUGGAAGAAAAAAGUGAUGAGAGAGAGUGGCAAUCUCACACCAUGCUGAAAAGCGCCCCCCAACUAACUCAGAUCCAUGCGUCCCUUUGGGCCCUGAGGAAUAAUACUGCUGGUUUAAUUCAAGAUAUAAAACCAAUAAAAAUGGUUUACCUAA